AAUUCAACUGUAGAUUUACUCGUAUACAAAAUUCGUUGCAACUGUGAAAAUAAAUUUCUUAAACGACUCGUUUCUAGUUUUGUUUUAUACUUUGUAAAAUUAUAAAUACAAAAGUAUAUUUCAAUAUUCAACAUGAAACUAACAAUUUCUGCAAUUUGUUUUAUUUUGUGUGUUAUUAUUAAUAAUUAUGAAUUGGUUUCUGCUGGUAGACAUCAUUCUAGUUUAAUAGAUAAAUGCAUAACUACUAAAAAAGAAUCAUUGUUAUAAAAAAAAAUUAAAUAUUAUAAAUGUAAAGGUGGAUUUAGAAGAUUUCAAACUUUAGAAGAAGCAGAAGAGAUAUGUAUUAAAGAGGGUGAUGAUGGUCAGUCUCAUUGUUAUGUAUAUAAUCCUCUUCAUGGUUUAAAAAACAAGGAAGAUAUUGUAGCGGAAUGUAUAUUGAAAAAACAACCAUUGUUUUAUAUAUGUUAUGGAAGGUUUUAUCAAAAAUAUCAUACCAUGAUGGAUGCAGAAGAGAAAUGUAUUAAAAAGGGGGAUGAUGGUCUUUACUACUGCAACUUUAUGACACCGGAAGAGAUUGAUAAAGAGGAACGGGAGCUACACCUUUCUUAAUUACGUAAGGGUCCUUAGGGGGAGGGGGGGUUUAUAAAAUCUCUACAUG